UCCUAGGCAACCCUCUCCCUGUUCACCCACAGGGAUGCUCCUGGCGGUCUUUGCGGGGAGAACAUGAGGAUGUGAGAAUCUAAUGAUUUAACACGGAAAGUUUCACUAGUUUUGACGUGGCUGAGUUUUAAGAUCGACUUUUCCCCCUAAGGUCGGCAGAGGCCCUGUUAAAUCUUGGAUAACAGGAAACACGUUUUUCUCCUCAGUCGGGGCUGCAAGGGUUCUGACACAAGAGGCAGCAAAUACAAAACGGCUGUUCAUUGAGAAAGGGGCAGGAGGACAGGAAGAGCUCAAGAGGCUGAAUUUCCUAUCAGGCAGGGUGCUGAGACGAGCGGGCUGAGGAGCUUACACAUCAAGGAAUUGACCAGGAGGUGGCUCUCGUGAACAUGUACAGGACGGCGUGGGCCAACACCAGCACUGGUGAGCACCUACUGUGCGCCGGGCACUGUGCCAAAUGCUUUCAUCCAUGACUGCAUUUAAUUCCGCAACGGUCCUGCAUCGAGUAGGGGUGAGCCAUUGUUCCCGUCCCGGCAAGGACACUGAGGCCAAGAAGUGAGGUGACUUGCCCAAAGCUGUAACCCUAAAACUGCUCUAAGAGAUAAAGUCUAUUAUAAGAAAACCAAAAACAAAGCAAAAAAAGUCCUGAGCCUUUGACUGAGUCCUAGGUUUUCUUAAUUGCUGGAAAUAAAAACCCUUUUUAGCAGAAGAUAAAACAGGGCCUGUGUCACUCAGGCUUCUCCUCCUCCUUUCUUCUGACACCAGGAAGUGACUGGGGACCCAAUUAGAUAUUUAACCAGAGAGUAGGGGUGUCUGUGGUAGCCUGACUUCCACCUCUGCUUCUUCUAGUACUGCCGUGAUGGUGACAUUGAGCUACAUGUAAUCCUGGGCCCUGGGUGAGGAGAGGACCCAGGACCAUCCCACCCUGAAGCCCCCUCCCCUGCCACAGGCAAAGCAUGGAUGCC